rnacentral:lncRNA from 1 species
AUCUACACCGAGGAAACAAUGUUGCAGCUCAUCAAAUGCAAUCAGCUGCUAAUUGAAAGGAAAUGGAAUUUUACAAUUACAGGCCACCUUUCAGUGCUCAGGAUUUCUAAGCACUUCUCCCCACCUUCCUUUGCCAGCUCAGCACUGGCAGGAGCACUUGACAACCUGCUAGAGACUUCCCUAAAAGCUGCAUUUAGGACCUGGCCCGUUCUCCCCAGCUCCAGAGCAGCAGCAAAGGGAAGCAGCGUCCUCGCCAAUACCUGGGCUGUCCUUCAAGGCUCAGUGCAAGGAAAAACACCUGGGUUGGACAUCAGUCCUCUCUCCCCUUACUCACCAGGUAGUGCUGACUUCCAGACCACUGAGGUCACCUGCAUAAGCGAGUCUGGCAACAAAUAAUCGUCUUCCAGAAAAUGACCAGAAACUCAGCCUGCUUUUUGUCAUUUCACCAGCCCCACCAUCUUUCCUUUAUUCUAGAGCUCCUGGCACACUUACAUGAAUCUCUUGAAAGAAGAGAAAUGAGAGCAUUCAUUCCAUACUAAUACAAUUGUGCCCUAUGGAAAGGCUUUUUGCUGGCAGACAUAGUAGACGGACCAUUUCCCAACUUCUUUUUCUUUGCCACCUUCCAGCCAAAGGUGUCCAUAUGACACAGCUCUGGACAGGAUAAUUGGAAGUCUGUUGUGGGAUUUCUGAGAAAGCUUUUGAUUUUCUGACAGAGACAUUUUUGCUUCCCCUUACCACUUCCUACUGGAUUACAGAUGUGAUGGAAAGAGCUGCAGCAGCCAUAAUACAACCAUAAAGGAGAGGAGAAGAGAAUUGCAAAGGCAUCAACCCACAUUGAAUUGAACUGCUAAGUUAACACUAGCAGUUACUUGCCUCCAGAUAUCUUGGUGUGUGAGAACAUUAAAUCUGUAUGUGUCUAAAUCAGUAUGGG